AUUGAACGCUGGCGUCAGGCCUAACACAUGCAGGUCGAGCGAGCGGUGGACGGGUGAGUAAUGUAUGGGGAUUGCCCGUUAGAGGGGGAUAACUACUGGAAACGUUGCCUAAUACCGCCUACUGUUGGAUAACCUCUAUGGGAUGAGCUAGUAGGUAAGGUAAUGGCUUACCUAGGCGACGAUCCCUAGCUGGUCAGGGCGGAUGAUCAGCCACACUGGGACUGAGACACGGCCCAGACUCCGAGGGAGGCAGCAGUGGGGAAUAUUACAGAAUGGGCGAGAGCCUGAUGCAGCAAUGCGGCGUGUAUGAAGAAGGCCCUAGGGUUGUAAAGUAAUUUCAGUCGGGAGGCGUUACCGACAGAAGAAGCACCGGCUAACUCCGUGCCAGCAGCCGCGGUAAUAC
rnacentral:rRNA from 1 species